rnacentral:rRNA from 1 species
AUUUCUGCCUGUCUCGUGGGCUCGGAGAUGUGUAUAAGAGACAGCCCCAGUAGUCCACGCCGUAAACGAUGGAUGCUGAGCAUCGGGAGUUUCGACCCUCUCGGUGCUGCCUACCUAAGUUAACACCUUAAGCAUCCCGCCUGGGGAGUACGGUCGCAAGACUAAAACUCAAAGGAAUAGACGGGGACCCGCACAAGCGGUGGAGCAUGUGGUUUAAUUCGACGAUAAGCGAAGAACCUCACCAAGGUUUGACAUCUAGCUGCAGACUCCUGGAAACAGGAGAGCCUUCGAGGGUGCUAGACAGAUGCUGCAUGGUUGUCGUCAGCUCGUGUCGUGAGAUGUACCGUUAAGUCGGGUAACGAGCGCAACCCCUACCCUAUGUUUUACGUGUCAUAGGGAACUGUCUGCUUUAAGCAGGAGGAAGGUGGGGAUGACGUCAAAUCAGCAUGGUUCUUACACCUUGGGCGACACACGUGCUACAAUGGGGAAUACAAAGGGACGCCAAACCGUAAGGUGGAGCAAAUCCCAAAAAAUUCUUCUCAGUUCGGAUUGAGGUCUGCAACUCGACCUCAUGAAGCUGGAAUCGCUAGUAAACGUGGAUCAGCCACGCCACGUUGAAUACGUUCUCGGGUCUUGUACUCACCGCCCGUCACACCAAGAGAGUCGGAGACGCCCGAACCUGCCAGCGAGGCAGGGAAGGUGAAGCCGAUGAUAAGGGUGAAGUCGUAACAAGGCAUCCGUAGCGGAAGCUGUGGAUG